rnacentral:lncRNA from 1 species
GUCAGGUGACGUCCUACGUCCGCCCCUCCCAGCCUCACCGGGUCGGGGCCCAGCGCGCUCCCAACCGCCCCCGGGAGCCCCGGUUGACCGCAGCUUGGCUCCGCCUACUUCGCCUACCCCGAGUGGCGGCCGCGUGGGGGUUUCAGCCCAUGCCUUAACUGACAGAGGACUGAGCCAGGUGGCCGAGGAAGCGGGUACUGAAGGGACCGGGCCGGCAGGGUCACAGGGCCACGCCACACAACGAAUUCCAUGGACUCACACCAAGAGUAGUAAGAAGCAUACUGCAUUGCUCCUGGAGUUGGAGGAACUUGACUGGACUUUUUCCAUGUGCAACUGUAAAGAAAUCAGGGUAAAGAAAAGGGUAUCUCUGGCCAAAUCUUGCUGGCAAGAUUCACAGGAGCUGGCUCAUUGUCCUGUUGGUGAGGCCUGGGGACUCAACCAUCUAGCAUCUUAUUGGUGAAUUAAUUGUUUCCCUGGAAGAUGGAGCAGAGUGAUUCUCUCAGAGUGGCUAUGCAGCUUGGUGGUCUAGAACCACUGUCAGAUGCUGGAGCCCAUAGGGUGGCUGCAAACCAU